GCACACUCUAGAGCAUGGUGUCUGUGGAGGCACACUGUAGAACAUGGAAUAUGAGGGAUGCACACUGUAGAGCAUGGUAUCUGAGGGAGGCACACUGUAGAGCAUGGUAUCUGAGGGAGGGACACUAUAGAGCAUAGUAUCUAAGCAGGCACACUGUAGAACAAGGUAUCUAGGGAGGCACAGUGUAGAACAUGGUGUCUGUGAGGCACACUGUAGAACAUGUUAUCUGAGGGAGGCACACUGUAGGACGUGGUAUUUGAGGGAGGCAUACUGUUGAGCAUGGUGUCUGUGGAGUCACACUGUAGAACAUGUUAUCUCAGGGAAUCACACUGUAGAGUAUGGUAUCUGAGGGAGGCACACUGUAGGGCAUGGUAUCUGGGGAGGCACACUGUAGAACAUGGUAUAGGAGGGAGGCGCACUGUAGAGCAUGGUGUCUGUGGAGUCACGCUGUAGCACAUGGUAUGAGGGAUGCACACUCUAGAGCAUGGUAUCUUAGGGAAGCCAUUAUAGAACAUGGUAUCUGAGGGAGGCACACUGUAGAGCAUGGUAUCUGAGGGAGGCACACUGUAGAACUUGGUGUCUGUAAGGCACACUGUAGACCAUGUUAUAUGAGGGGUGCACAUUGUAGAGCAUGGUAUCUGAGGGAGGCACACUGUAGAACUUGGUGUCUGUGAGGCACACUGUAGACCAUGUUAUAUGAGGGAUGCACACUGUAGAGCAUGGUAUCUUCCCAGCCAAGCUAUUCAAGUACUUGCUGUUUGUGUCUCAACUGGGUUAUUUUUGCUCCACCAGUCAGUCCUCAGGGGCACUUGACUCGGCCACAUAUUUCUGGUCCAUUGUGUCUAUCAGAGACCUCUGGUUCUCUCUGUCUUCUUUCUCCUUCUUCUUCCCUCUUCUUCCUCUAACUUUUUCCUUGUGGUUCCUACCUGACAUCCAUAGCCUGGUAGCUGAACGCCUAACUCUGUUCUUCCCAUUAAUUGGCUUUAGCUUCUUUUAUUUAACCAGUCAG
rnacentral:lncRNA from 1 species